ACAAAACCACAGCGUUGUUAUCAAAACGUUGACAUUUACAUUUACUUAUAUUUAGAUUUAAAAAAAAAAUCAAAACAAAAAUUAAAAAAUUUUACUCAGCUGUUCGCAUGACCUCACCUUGUAAGUGCAUCCUGGUCAAAUAUAUUUCCAAUAUCCGCUGUUAUUACUCUACACAUGCUGAGAUAAAACGUUGCAUACCGUAACCCAGUAUUAAACAAUCGUUUUACAAAAGUUUUUUAUAGGCACACUUCUGAUUCUACAAAAUCAGUUGACGUCAAUACAAUGUUAACACAGCCGGCAGAACUACGCAAAAAUAGUCCCACAGUCCAUUACCAGCAAAACACAAGACCAAACACAAACUUUUUAUUCAACAUAUACAAAAUCAGCAUUUUAAGAGCAAACUGAAGGACGCCCACAGUGCAGCCAAACGUACCUCAGUGAUGUCGACAACGUAAUCCACUCACUCCCACUAUCAGUCGUCAUCGUUUUUAUCAUCAACAGCAACUGUCAAAGCAUUUUAGUGGACAUCCUCAUUACAAUUCAUGAAACAGGUAACGGACGUAAGUGCUAUGCUCAUCUCCAUUCUCGUGCUAAUAACUGUCGCAAGAAGAAGUAUGAACACAACAACAACUUGCGCCCUAAAAAGAAGUUGAAGUACAUAGACUAUUAUAAUACAAGCAAUAAAAGAUAAAAUAUGUUUGUUAAA